CUCCUCCUCCUCCUCCUCCCGGCCGCCGCCGCCUCCCUCUCUCGACUCUCGCUCCCUCGCCCCCUCCCGAACGCCCAAAACUCCUCCGACGCCGCUGCAGAGCAGGAGGAGGGCCCGCGAGCUGCGUCAGCCUGCACACGCGCUACGGAGCCCGCGCGGGGACAGGCGCGCCGCUGCGCGCACUCACGCGGAGACGGCUGCGCGCCUGCGCGGCGGCACGCGGUGGCGCCUCCCCCGGGCCGCGGGCUCCGCGCCCCGGCCCCCGCCCGGCCCCGCCCGCAGCAGCGAGUGCUCAGAGUUUCCUCGGGGGCUUCCCACGCCUUCCCCGGCCUCGCGGCGGGCGAGCCACGCCGAGCGAAAAGCAGAGUGCGGGCCGGGGAUUUUAACCCGUUCUUCAUUCUGCGUGUUGAUACUGCCAUAGUGAGCAAGAUCAAUAGCAGCCUGAUGACCUCAUUCUCUGAUUGACUUGGAAUCUAAAAAAGAAUCUGCUAAGCCGUCUCCCCACUCACUCCCACCACGUGUUUCUGCUGAGCGCAUGACCUCCCAGCAACACGUAAAGCUAGGUUUGGCCAUGCGGCUAAGUUCCAGCGGAUGAGUUGUGAGCAGAAGAGAUCACAUCUUCCUAAGGAAGCUGCUUGCCCUCUCUUCUCUCACUCUUUCUCUGCCCUGUGCGUGGGCUGGGACACAGACAUGAUGGUGGGAGUGAGCCAGCCUCAACCACACGUACCACGACCACACCCUAGGAUGACAGAGCCACAGAGAGAGCAAGCCUGGGUUUCCAGAUGACCUCAUUUUGCAAUGCCACUCACCCCUACGGACUAACAACUCAGACUUUUUAUGAGUGAGAAAGAAAUCUUUUAUCUAGUUUCUCUCUUCUAAACCAGCCAAAACAAUAUCCUAAUUAAUGCAGGUAAAAUAAACAAACAUACAAACAUGGUUUCCUAUCUCCC
rnacentral:lncRNA from 1 species